rnacentral:rRNA from 1 species
GACGAACGCUGGCGGCGUGCUUAACACAUGCAAGUCGAACGGAAAGGCCCUGCUUUUGUGGGGUGCUCGAGUGGCGAACGGGUGAGUAACACGUGAGUAACCUGCCCUUGACUUUGGGAUAACUUCAGGAAACUGGGGCUAAUACCGGAUAGGAGCUCCUGCUGCAUGGUGGGGGUUGGAAAGUUUCGGCGGUUGGGGAUGGACUCGCGGCUUAUCAGCUUGUUGGUGGGGUAGUGGCUUACCAAGGCUUUGACGGGUAGCCGGCCUGAGAGGGUGACCGGCCUCCUGGGGACUGCGAUACGGAGCAGACUCCUACGGGAGGCAGCAGUCGGGAGCAUUGCACAAUGAGAGCGAGCCUGAUGCGGCAACGCCGCGUGCGGGAUGACGGUCUGCGGGUUGUGAACCGCUUUCGCCUGAGACGCAGCGUGACUGACGGUACCGGGUAAAGAAGCACCGGCUAACUACGUG